ensembl:lncRNA
UGAAUAUGACCCUGUAUUCCAACUUAUCCGAGUCGGAGGUCGACUCCGCCGCUGUAAACAGCUAGAUCCAGAUACUAUCCACCCAGUGGUUCUAGACCCAGCUCACAAAGUAACACAACUCCUCAUUCAGGAUAUGGACAACCAACUCUGUCACCCAGGUUCUGAACGAGUUUUUGCAGAGCUUCGCCGCCAAUUCUGGAUUCUUCGAGGUAGAGCAGCUGUUAAAAAACAACAACACUCUUGCUUUGAUUGCCAAAAAUGGAGAGCCAAGCCAGUUGUGCCCCUAAUGGCAGACCUACCCCAAGCUAGGCUGCAACUGUUUAAGCCUGCCUUCUUUUCUACUGGUAUGGACUGUUUUGGUCCCUUUACAGUGAAAGUAGGAAGACGCAAUGAAAAGCGUUGGGGCAUCCUUUUCAAGUGCCUCACCACACGUGCCAUCCACAUAGACCUCCUACACAGUCUUGAUACAGACUCCUUUCUGAUGGCACUGCGUCGUUUUAUUUCUCGUAGAGGUAAGCCUUCUGAGCUACUUUCAGAUCAAGGCACUAAUUUCAAAGGUGGGGACAGAGAACUCCAGGAAGCCUUUAAAGCUUUGAAUCCUUCAUUGCAAGCACAACUGGCAAAAGAACAAAUUCAAUUUAAAUUCAACCCCCCCAGUAGUCCACACUUUGGAGGAGCUUGGGAACGAGAAAUAAGAUCCAUCAAGUCUGCACUAUAUGCCACUUUGCAAAGUCAAAGCAUGACCGAGGAGGUAUUAAGGACAGUGCUGAUAGAAGUGGAAGGAAUCUUAAACUCCAAACCUCUGGGUUAUGCAUCAACUGAUGUUGCAGACCCCAAUCCCAUCACACCCAAUCUUCUCCUCAUGGGGCGGCUCGAUCCAUCGCUCCCCCAGGCUGUCUACCAUGAAUCAGAACUUUUAAGUCGUCGCAGAUGGAGGCACACACAAGUCCUUGCGGAUCAGUUUUGGAGACAAUUCAUCAAGUAUUACCUUCCUAACCUACAGACCCGUUCCAAGUGGCAGAAAGACACUGAUUACUUACAGCCUGGCAUGAUCGUGAUGAUCCUAGACCCUCAACUACCCAGAGCUGUCUGGCCAGUAGGACAGAUCACCAAUGUCUUUCCUGGAGCUGAUGGACGGAUUAGGACAGCAGAGGUGAAAAUAAAAGACAAAGUAUAUACCAGACCAGCAGCUCGUCUUAUUAAAUUACCAUCCAUCCAUAACACUGACAAAGCGGAGACAAGUCCUUCUACAUAAAGACGAAUUUGACUGUGCAAAUUCGGGGGUGGCUGUUGUAAAGGACUGUGAUAACAAACAAUGGACAGUNNNNN